UUUAAUUUUUGAUUUUUUAUCUUAUUCAAAAAAAAUUUGCGAUUGAUAUUUUUUUAUUAGAUGAUAAAUCAUAAAUAGUAUUUUAUGUAUGACUAAUUUUUUCUAAUUUUCUAAAAAUUUUUCAAAUAAGAUGGAUAAUCAAACAUUGUACACGAAAA
rnacentral:pre_miRNA from 1 species